GGAGGCAGCAGUGGGGAAUAUUGCACAAUGGGCGCAAGCCUGAUGCAGCCAUGCCGCGUGUAUGAAGAAGGCCUUCGGGUUGUAAAGUACUUUCAGCAGUGAGGAAGGUGGGUAUGUUAAUAGCAUACUCAUUUGACGUUAGCUGCAGAAGAAGCACCGGCUAACUCCGUGCCAGCAGCCGCGGUAAUACGGAGGGUGCGAGCGUUAAUCGGAAUUACUGGGCGUAAAGCGCAUGCAGGUGGUUUGUUAAGUCAGAUGUGAAAGCCCGGGGCUCAACCUCGGAAUUGCAUUUGAAACUGGCAAACUAGAGUACUGUAGAGGGGGUAGAAUUUCAGGUGUAGCGGUGAAAUGCGUAGAGAUCUGAAGGAAUACCGGUGGCGAAGGCGGCCCCCUGGACAGAUACUGACACUCAGAUGCGAAAGCGUGGGGAGCAAACAGGAUUAAAUACCCUGGUAG
rnacentral:rRNA from 1 species